rnacentral:rRNA from 1 species
UAAGGAAUAUUGGUCAAUGGAGGGAACUCUGAACCAGCCAUCCCGCGUGAAGGAUGAAGGGGCUCUGCCUUGUAAACUUCUUUUGCAUGGGACGAAAAAACUUAAUUUAUUAAGGACUGACGGUACCAUGAGAAUAAGCACCGGCUAACUCCGUGCCAGCAGCCGCGGUAAUACGGAGGGUGCGAGCGUUAUCCGGAAUCACUGGGUUUAAAGGGUGCGUAGGCGGUUUGAUAAGUCAGUGGUGAAAGGCCGUCGCUUAACGAUGGGACUGCCAUUGAUACUGUUAGACUUGAAUCAGGAUGAGGUUGGCGGAAUGUGGCAUGUAGCGGUGAAAUGCUUAGAUAUGCCAUGGAAUACCGAUUGCGAAGGCAGCUGACUGGACCUGAAUUGACGCUGAGGCACGAAAGCGUGGGGAGCGAACAGG